rnacentral:rRNA from 1 species
GAUGAACGCUAGCGGCAGGCCUAAUACAUGCAAGUCGAACGGUGUCUUCGGACAUAGUGGCGCACGGGUGCGUAACACGUAUGCAACCUACCUUACAUUGGGGGAUAGCCUUUCGAAAGGGAGAUUAAUACCGCAUAAGACAGUAGCUGGGCAUCCAGCAGCUGUUAAAGAUUUAUCGAUGUAAGAUGGGCAUGCGUCCAAUUAGUUAGUUGGCGAGGUAACGGCUCACCAAGACUUUGAUUGGUAGGGGAACUGAGAGGUCAAUCCCCCACACUGGCACUGGGAUACGGGCCAGACUCCUACGGGAGGCAGCAGUAGGGAAUAUUGGGCAAUGGACGCAAGUCUGACCCAGCCAUGCCGCGUGCAGGAUGAAGGCGUUAUGCGUUGUAAACUGCUUUUAUACAGGAAGAAACGACUCUUGCGAGAGGCAUUGACGGUACUGUAUGAAUAAGCACCGGCUAACUCCGUG